rnacentral:rRNA from 1 species
AGGCCUAAUACAUGCAAGUCGAACGAGAAGUUUUUCUUAGGAUUAACAGAAAGUGGCGAACGGGUGCGUAACGCGUAUGCAACCUACCCUUUACUGGGGGAUAGCCCGGAGAAAUUCGGAUUAAUACCCCAUGAUAUUAUUGAGAGGCAUCUGGAGAUAAUUAAAGAUUUAUUGGUAAGGGAUGGGCAUGCGUGGCAUUAGCUUGUUGGUGAAGUAACGGCUCACCAAGGCGACGAUGUCUAGGGGCUCUGAGAGGAUGAUCCCCCACACUGGUACUGAGAUACGGACCAGACUCCUACGGGAGGCAGCAGUAGGGAAUCUUGGUCAAUGGGCGCGAGCCUGAACCAGCCAUGCCGCGUGCAGGAAGACGGCCUUCCGGGUUGUAAACUGCUUUUGUAUGGGAAGAAAAAGCCCUUGCGAGGGAUAUUGCCGGUACCAUAUGAAUAAGCACCGGCUAACUCCGUGCCAGCAGCCGCGGUAAUACGGAGGGUGCGAGCGUUGUUCGGAUUUAUUGGGUUUAAAGGGUGCGUAGGCGGGAGUUUAAGUCAGCGGUGAAAUUCUUCAGCUUAACUGAAGGGCUGCCAUUGAUACUGGAUUUCUUGAGUAGACCAGAGGUAGGCGGAAUUUAUGGUGUAGCGGUGAAAUGCAUAGAUACCAUAAAGAACCCCGAUAGCGUAGGCAGCUUA